CGCAGGAAAUUUGAGAGGAGCUGUCCUUAGUACGAGAGGACCGGGAUGGACGCACCGCUGGUGCACCAGUUGUUCCGCCAGGAGCACAGCUGGGUAGCUAUGUGCGGUCGGGAUAAGCGCUGAAAGCAUCUAAGCGUGAAGCCCCCCUCAAGAUGAGAUUUCCCACAGCAUAAGCUGGUAAGACCCCUUAAAGAUGAUGAGGUAGAUAGGUUCGGGGUGGAAGCGUGGCAACACGCGGAGCUGACGAAUACUAAUCGGUCGA
rnacentral:ncRNA from 1 species